rnacentral:rRNA from 1 species
CAAUAGCGUAUAUUAAAGUUGUUGCAGUUAAAAAGCUCGUAGUUGGAUUUCUGACAUGGUGCGCCUGGUCCGCCCCGUAAAGGUGUGUGAGUACCGGCGUGCGCCUGUCAUCCUUCCGCAGAGCGUGUCUACCCUUCACUGGGCCGGGCAUCGCGAUGUGGAUCGUUUACUUUGAAAAAAUUAGAGUGUUCAAAGCAGGCUUACGCUGUGAAUACAUUAGCAUGGAAUAAUAAGAUAGGGCUUUGGUUCUAUUUUGUUGGUUUCUAGGACUGAAGUAAUGAUUGAUAGGGAUAGUUGGGGGUGCUAGUAUUCAACGGCCAGAGGUGAAAUUCUUGGAUUCGUUGAAGACUAACUUAUGCGAAAGCAUUCACCAAGGAUGUCUUCUUUAA